CUACGGAGGGUGCAAGCGUUACUCGGAAUCACUGGGCGUAAAGCGCGCGCAGGCGGCUUGAUAAGUUGGAUGUGAAAGCCUACGGCUCAACCGUAGAACUGCAUCCAAAACUGUCAAGCUAGAGUCUGGGAGAGGAAGAUGGAAUUAGUUGUGUAGGGGUAAAAUCCGUAGAGAUAACUAGGAAUACCAAAAGCGAAGGCAAUCUUCUGGAACACUACUGACGCUGAGGCGCGAAAGCGUGGGGAGCAAACAGGAUUAGAAACCCUAGUAGUCC
rnacentral:rRNA from 1 species